GACGAACCACACGAACGUUAUUCGGAAUUACUGGGCUUAAAGGGUGCGUAGGCGGCGCGGUAAGUAGGGUGUGAAAUCCCUCGGCUCAACCGAGGAACUGCGCUCUAAACUACCGUGCUUGAGGGAGAUAGAGGUAAGCGGAACUUAGGGUGGAGCGGUGAAAUGCGCAGAUAUCAGGAGGAACACCGGUGGCGAAGGCGGGUCUCUGGGCCGAUACUGACGCUGAGGAGCGAAAGCGUGGGGAGCGAACAGG
rnacentral:rRNA from 1 species